ACACUCCUACGGGAGGCAGCAGUGGGGAAUAUUGCACAAUGGGCGCAAGCCUGAUGCAGCCAUGCCGCGUGUAUGAAGAAGGCCUUCGGGUUGUAAAGUACUUUCAGCGGGGAGGAAGGCGAUAAGGUUAAUAACCUUGUUGAUUGACGUUACCCGCAGAAGAAGCACCGGCUAACUCCGUGCCAGCAGCCGCGGUAAUACGGAGGGUGCAAGCGUUAAUCGGAAUUACUGGGCGUAAAGCGCACGCAGGCGGUCUGUCAAGUCGGAUGUGAAAUCCCCGGGCUCAACCUGGGAACUGCAUUCGAAACGGGCAGGCUAGAGUCUUGUAGAGGGGGGUAGAAUUCCAGGUGUAGCGGUGAAAUGCGUAGAGAUCUGGAGGAAUACCGGUGGCGAAGGCGGCCCCCUGGACAAAGACUGACGCUCAGGUGCGAAAGCGUGGGGAGCAAACAGGAUUAGAUACCCUAGUAGUCCCAUGA
rnacentral:rRNA from 1 species